UGGGGAAUUUUGGACAAUGGGCGCAAGCCUGAUCCAGCCAUGCCGCGUGUCUGAAGAAGGCCUUCGGGUUGUAAAGGACUUUUGUCCGGGAGCAAAGCCCAGUAGUUAAUACCUACUGGGGCUGAGAGUACCGGAAGAAUAAGCACCGGCUAACUACGUGCCAGCAGCCGCGGUAAUACGUAGGGUGCAAGCGUUAAUCGGAAUUACUGGGCGUAAAGCGUGCGCAGGCGGCUGUGCAAGUCUGAUGUGAAAGCCCUAGGCUUAACCUGGGAACGGCAUUGGAGACUGCAUGGCUAGAGUGCGUCAGAGGGGGGUAGAAUUCCGCGUGUAGCAGUGAAAUGCGUAGAUAUGCGGAAGAAUACCAAUGGCGAAGGCAGCCCCCUGGGAUGACACUGACGCUCAUGUACGAAAGCGUGGGGAGCAAACAGG
rnacentral:rRNA from 1 species